AGUUUGAAUCGAAAGAUCCCAAUUAACCAACCAAGAAUAAAUGCUAAUCUCUUUUUUUCUAAACGUUAAAAUCUUGAUAGUACUUGGUUGUUAAAUUUAAUUAGGAAAAAGCAUUAAUAACCAAAAUCUCUUCCUAUUUUUUCCCUCAUAUUCUUCUUCUUCACCAAGAUCUCAUUGAAUCCGAUUCCGACUGUUAACUCCAAGCAAAGCAAAAGCAAACUCUUUUUCGUAUUUUCCUUUCCGAAAAAUGCAAGACUCUUCCAGGCCCGUAACCGGCUACCCAGUGCAGAACCUUAACGGCUGCGCUCCUCCACCACCCGCUUCCUUGGCCACCGCCUACCCUUACGUUAACCCCAACCCAUACCCUUACUAUCCACCGCCGCGGCCCCAAAACCCACGCCCCACCUUCUUCCGCCGCCUAUUUGUCGCCUUCGCCAUCCUCGUAAUUAUCUUCGGCACCAUCCUCCUCAUCUUCUGGCUCGUCCUCCGCCCUCACCUCCCCGAUUUCUCCUUAGAAUCCCUCUCCCUCUCCAACUUCAACGCCUCCAACCAGCGCGUGACCGCCACGUGGAAUGCCCAGUUCCAAGUCUUCAAUCCCAACAAGAAACUGUCCAUCUCCUACGGCGACAUUGUUUCGUCGGUUUUUCAUAAGGAUUAUUUAUUGACGGAGACGAGGAUUGGGUCGUUCGUGCAGGGCACGCGCAACGUUAGCACUGUGCAGGCGAGUUAUUCGGUGCUUGAUUCUUACGUGGAGGCCAAGGUGGUGGAUGCGAUCAACGGCGAGAGGUCACGCGGCGAGGUCAAGUUCAGCGUCAGGGUGCUAGCUGACGUGGCGUUCCGAUACGGCGGGUGGAGAGGACGGCGGAGGGUUCUUAGGGUUUGGUGUAAUGACGUGGCGCUGAGUGGUUCGUCGGGGAAGAUGACCGGUGGGCCCACAAAAUGCAGCGUUGAUUGAUUACCUCCACUCUUUGGUUUGAAGUACCUCUCGAUAAAGGCUUAAACAUGGAUCUCCAGUUUCAUCUGAAGCAAGGAAGUGAUUGCUAGUUGUAUAAUUCUGAUCUACUCUGUGUGUGUUGUUAAAACCUAAAAGGAAACUAGGAACCCUAUUAUUACUCAAGUCAUUGCCAAGAAACUCAAUGGCAUGCGCUGUCAUUCUUACAGAGCAGUCGUCAACGUCUGAAAUGGAGAGGAUGGCUAAGAGAAGGCUAACUACUGUAAACCCUACAGCGUAUUGCACGGCCUUUCCCUUCAUGUUCAUAGCUAAAGGGAAGAGAAGAAAAGAAGAGCAAAUAGUUUAAAACGAAUUGUCCCAGUGAUUUUGGCAGAUUUUAAGCUUUGCUUUCAUGUGUUGAUAUGAGUGUAAUAUAUAUUAUUUUAUGGUGUUUAUUAGGUAUUCUAUAUGUCUAGGAUGGAUCAAGUGCUAUCAUUGCCUUUGAAGUUUAACACGCACAUCAUUCUCGUCCCCAAAA